GCCCUUGGGGGAAUCCCAGUUGCCUUGGUGUGGCGGUCCAAAUUAUUAGCAAAGAAAGGGAGGAUUUGCAACGUAAGCACCUUAGCCCUCGUUUUUAGUCGGCUUUGCGAGUGUAUAAUUAUGUUCACUCCGGGGCCUGAAACUCCCCUAUUCAAUUCGCGACGAUUGUACGUCCGCUAAGAAAAGUCAGAGAACUCAAAAACAACAUCAAUGGAGAAGUCAACAUACACGUUUCUCCUUACUGGUGGCAUAGUGGGUGUGGCCGGCCAGUUCAGGGACCGGGAGUUUGCUGCUUAUUCUAUGUAUCCUUUCACUGGUGCAAAGCUGUCUCUCACAGUAUAAUUCCAUGUACAAAAUUGUAUCUAUUGUUGUGAUUAAAUGCUGAGUUACCAUUGACACGUCACAAGGAAAUGUUUGUAGAUGCAUUAUAGACAUAUACACCAUCAUUUAUCUUAUUUGUGCCAUUUAUCUUAUUUGUGCAUUUAUGUCAAGAUGAGACCCAAAUGUAUAUUUGCAUUGUAUAGUGAGGUCCAGGUGUACCUGUUGUUGUUGAGUAACCUUGACUGGUGUGCCCAGAGCUGCAGGGGUGUUUGUCUGUCUACUAGAGUACCCAAGGGGCAAGAGAAACAAGGGCACCAGUGUAGAAAGGACGUGAGUACCCACAUAUGUAACAGUAUUGCUUCCGUCCUUCUCCUCACCUCUACCUAGGCUCGACCCAGGGACCCUCUGCACACAGACAACAGGCACCCUCGAAGCAUCGUUACCCAUCGCUCCACAAAAGCUGCGGCCCUUGCAGAGCAAGGGGAACAACUACUUCAAGGGGUCAGUACUGCUUCACUGUCUGUGUGAAGUCAUUCGGCCCACUGACCAGGAACUACUAUGUCAGAGCAUUUCUACAUGCAGCGAUCUGCGUUCCUGGUGGUUUCAUCCUUGCAGCUGUUCUUGGCUGUGUCUGCCUCGGCAUAGCUAGCCUCAUCUACCUUGCGGCGGCCAUCCGAGGGGAGCAGUGGGAGCCCAUCCUGCCCUGGAAGGAGAGUGCCCGUAAGCCUGUGGGAGAGAGCAUCAAGCUCCCUCCCCAGAACCCUCCACCACGCCCACCCGCAGAGAUGCGCAGGAAACGGGCAGAGGACCUGGAGGCGGCUGCCUAUGUCAACCCCAUCGCUGUCACUGCCAAUGAUGACUAGAUCCCCUUACUGUUCCUCCUUCAGGCCUGUUGGGCUAAGCUCACUCAGAUUAGCUUAUGGUUCCACUGAGCCCCAACCAAAACAGAUCUACAGUGGAGCCCCACCCAGGCCAUACUCAGUCCCGACUGCCUUUGGCUGAGGGCCGAAUCCUAAAUUGAGAUGGAUAAGCUUGCUUAACUUAGGUUUUGUGUAAAUUGGGAAUUGGCGUCAAUGGGAAUUUUUUAUGGACUGGUAUCAAGUUAGGAAUCAGGCCUCGGAGAGUAGAGGGUUGUGGAGAGGACACACUGCUGCUGAUGUUUGAUGAUGUAUAAGGGAUUGUAUUGAACUGAGAUGUUGCUGUGCCUUAGUUACUGCAAAAGGGUUGUGUCCUACAUCUCUGCACCACCUGCCACAUCUCUUUCAGUUAUAAUUUUGGUCCCCAAAAGGCUUUGGAAUGUAAAUGGAAAAUUUUGUAUUCUUGUUGCGACAGUAAGUUAUUUUGAGAGCAAUUGAACAAAUGGAUGUGGAUGAGAAUCAACCACAUUAACUGGCACAGACCUAAUGAAAUUGUUUUAAAAGAGAAUGAAGAGCUAUUUCUACAUUUUGUAUCCUCAAAAUAUACUGUAUUAUUUUACACUGGAAUGUUAAUUGUUUAUAAGCAAGCGCUGUUUUGCGUUAUCUAUUUAUCUUUUUGGACGGUUUACUAUGUCAGUGGUCAACUAGCUGUAUUAUGGACAGUUGUGUAUUCACCUCUCUACAAAAUAAUGUAUGUCUAUGUUUUAUGCUUGUUAUGCUUUUGAUACAAUCUGAAAAUAAACAGUUAUUCUAGUUAUUUAAAAUGUGCAUGUUUACCAUAUAAC